CCUACGGGCGGCAGCAGUGAGGAAUAUUGGUCAAUGGACGAGAGUCUGAACCAGCCAAGUAGCGUGAAGGAUGACUGCCCUAUGGGUUGUAAACUUCUUUUAUAUGGGAAUAAAAUGUUCCACGUGUGGGAUUUUGUAUGUACCAUAUGAAUAAGGAUCGGCUAACUCCGUGCCAGCAGCCGCGGUAAUACGGAGGAUCCGAGCGUUAUCCGGAUUUAUUGGGUUUAAAGGGAGCGUAGGUGGAUUGUUAAGUCAGUUGUGAAAGUUUGCGGCUCAACCGUAAAAUUGCAGUUGAAACUGGCAGUCUUGAGUAGAGGAGAGGUAGGCGGAAUUCGUGGUGUAGCGGUGAAAUGCUUAGAUAUCACGAAGAACUCCGAUUGCGAAGGCAGUUCACUGGACUGCAACUGACACUGAGGCUCGAAAGUGUGGGUAUCAAACAGGAUUAGAUACCCGGGUAGUC
rnacentral:rRNA from 1 species